rnacentral:rRNA from 1 species
UACGUAGGGUGCGAGCGUUGUCCGGAAUUAUUGGGCGUAAAGCGCACGCAGGCGGUUGCGCGCGUGGGGUGUGAAAGCUGGUGGCUUAACUGCCAGAUGCCAUCCCAUACGGCGCGACUCGAGCCCGUGAGAGGUCCACGGAAUUGCCGGUGUAGUGGUGAAAUGCGUAGAUAUCGGGAGGAACACCAGUGGCGAAGGCGGCUUCCUGGCCUGUUCUUGACGCUGAGACGCGAAAGCGUGGGGAGCGAACCGG